AUACAGAGGGUGCGAGCGUUAAUCGGAAUUACUGGGCGUAAAGCGCGCGUAGGCGGCUACUUAAGUCAGAUGUGAAAUCCCCGGGCUCAACCUGGGAACUGCAUCUGAUACUGGGUAGCUAGAGUUUAGGAGAGGGAAGUAGAAUUUCAGGUGUAGCGGUGAAAUGCAUAGAGAUCUGAAGGAAUACCAGUGGCGAAGGCGGCUUCCUGGCCUAAAACUGACGCUGAAGUGCGAAAGCGUGGGUAGCAAACGGGAUUAGAUACCCCAGUAGUCC
rnacentral:rRNA from 1 species